AAGCGGUUUUUUUAAUCUGUCUUGCUUAUGCAUUUAGCUUGUCCUUUUGAUGGGUCCUCUCUCUCGAGGAAGAAUUAGCAGACCGUUCUUUGAAAAGGACAUUUAAGUAGCCAGGCAUCCAGUGAGCUUAUAGCAAUAAGUCAUGGAAUGCUAUAUUUCGUUACUUUCUGGUUUAUUUUAUUUUUGCAUUCAGUGUUUUUCAAAUAUGAUGGUGGUGUGGAAAUACUGUAUUUGAUGAAUUUCUGGGUUUGUUUUUUUUUAUUUUUUCAUUCAGCGACUUUAAAUACAGUGGUGAUGGGGAAAGGAAAGUUGCAAUAAAAGAAGAUUUUGCUCUUAAGACUGCACAUGCCAAGAUUGUCUCCUGACUGGAAAAUGAAGAGUUCAAAAGUCCUGUGGCCUUUCUGCCCUUUACACUGAAAGGAAAAUGAACUGCCUGGUCAUAGGACGAAUGUUGUCUUGGGUCACCAUCAAGAUCCUGACCUACCUGACUGAUGUGACACAGGGAAAGAGGAUAUGACCAGCUAGUAAUAUGCCUGAAAACACCAAAAUUUCAGCCCCCUCCUUCCCAAAGGAGAAGAGGACCAGCUUCUGCAGUCUUCCACGGAUGGGGGCGUUCUUGGAGCAAUGGUCUCGCUCUGGUCUUCAGGACAGUUCCAAGUCCCUCUCUCCUGAUUGCCGCUCUUUGGACCCGGUGGAUCAACACUCUGUAGACAGACGGUGUCUUUAUCAGCGUGCAAAGUGAAAUACUCCAUCCAGAGCUCCCUCCUGCUUCUUGGUUUCCAACAUGCAGCUCAAAUUCUUAAUUGGGAAAGUGGUAUGAAGACAUCAUGUUCCGGCAGAGGAAUCUUAACGGCCAGAGAUUUUCAGAUAACAUUGCGGGAUUGGUGUAACAUCGGUGAAGGACAUGGCUAAAGUCUCUUGGAACUCUGAGAUGCACGUGUUAUUAAAUUUGAAGACCUGCUUUCUGAUGUCUCCGAAGAAGGUGGUUUAUUACUGAAGAAGGUGGUUUAUUACCGCCUGCCAUUUUAGAAGGCUUUUUAGAGCGG